rnacentral:rRNA from 1 species
UACGGGGGGGGCAAGCGUUGUUCGGAAUUACUGGGCGUAAAGGGCUCGUAGGCGGCCAACUAAGUCAGACGUGAAAUCCCUCGGCUUAACCGGGGAACUGCGUCUGAUACUGGAUGGCUUGAGUUUGGGAGAGGGAUGCGGAAUUCCGGGUGUAGUGGUGGAAUGCGUAGAGAUCCGGAGGAACACCAGCGGCGAAGGCGGCAUCCUGGACUGGUCCUGACACUCAUGAGCGAAAGCGUGGGGAGCGAUCCGG